rnacentral:tRNA from 3 species
GGUCCCAUAGUCAAGCGGCUAAGACGCCGGCCCUUCACGCCGGAAACAAGGGUUCGAUUCCCUUUGGGAUCA